AAAUAUGGAAAAUGAUUGCAGGAAUAAUUAAAGAAGAAUCUCUGACUAGGUACAAAAAGAUUCUCCAGGCAAGAUUUUACUUUGCAUGUGCUGAACUGCACAGCCCAGAAGGGGCCAAUGUUUUCUCUGAAACUUCGUGAGGGCAACUGCUGACCCCCAUGUGAAAGGGUCUGGUUGCUACCCACAGCGUCACCCCCAACUGACCCCAGAUUAGGAGCAUGAGCCAGUGCACCGGCACCCUAAUAUGCAAAGUGAUUUGGUAAGAACGAGAGUUAUAAACUGGAGGGGUUCCACAGUCGUAAGAACUGCAUCCAUAUUUAGCGAUAAAACAAGCAGACAUUCUGAACUUGGGAUUUUCAGCCCAUCCUAUGAAAAGAAUGGAAGUCCCAAUGAAUGCAGAUAAUGAUAAUGCAGAGCAACCAGCAUUGGUUCAAAACUUCCUUUGUGCCAAAUACAUGCUAAAUUCUUUACAGGCACAAUAUUAUGUAGUUAUUAUAAACUAUCUAUUUUACAGUAAAGAAAACUUAGGCUCAGAGGGGUAAGGUAAUACUCAGCAAGAGUCAAAUUUAGGGAUCAAACCUAGGUAUACUUGACUCUCAAGUCCAGCUUUUUAAAUUAAAUUUUGCUGGAGUAUAGUUGACUUUCAACACUGUGUUAGUUUCAGGUGUAGAGCAAUGUGGAUCAGCUAUACAUACAGCCAUUCCUUCUCAAAUUCUUUUCCCAUGCCCAUGUCUGGCGUUAACACUGUGCUACAUGCUAACUUCCAGUGAGUCAGGGUGGUGAUGCAAGAAAGACAGAAACUGACAUUCCCUCAUUCAUCCUUCAAUUACCUGCACGUCUCCCAAGCGCUAAGAACACAGCAGUGAAGACCACAGUCAGGAGCCUUGAUCCCAGACAACUAAAGAACCAGUCCAGAAUGAGACUCUAGGGGUCAGCUGGCGUCUUUGAGGAUAAAGUCCACAAGGACAAAGCAGAAACAAGAGCUUUGUGUUUGUUCAAGAAAUUGUGAUUCCCUUAACUAAGCCCAGUGCAAAGCAUAGUUUAAUCAUGUGCUGAGUUCUCUUUUAAAAGUCAAAAUUAAACCUUGCUUCCCCUUACAGAUAGAAAGGGCUCGCUCUCCCCACCAAAGACCCCUUGAUGGCAAAUUCCAAAGAUUCUACAUAAAGACUUGCCAUUCUCUACCUAAGUCUAGAAAAAAGUUUUAAUGCUUCCUUAAGAAUAUGAAGUCCUUGGAUACCAGACUGCCAGUCACACAGAAAUGAAGAGAGGCAUCGAAAUACGGGACAAUAAUAAAGAAAAGAAGAUGCGGAAGCAGUUGUCUGAGGAAGCAGCUGCCGCCUGCACAUGAAAGAGUCUCAUACAUCAUGAAGAACAUGGGAGAGCAAGAAAAUCCCCUGGAUUAGGACACAAAAGCCUGUAUUUCACGUCUCAGCUUUAUCACUUACUGGUUGUGACCCUGGGCAAGCAAAUUAACCCUCCCCGUAUACCCAUUUCCUCUCGUAUUAAAUGAGAAUAAUAGCUUCCCUGCCUACAUUACAGAAAUGCAAUAAAUAAAACUAUACAUAUGCAAUGGCCCUGUCAACUGUCAAGGUUACCCAUUACACGAGGUAUCCAAUCUCAUUCAUCUCUGUUAGAGGCAAAAUAUUUGGCUGGAAACAUAGGUGCUUAGUAGCGAACACAUCGCCACACCCCCAUCCAAAGGCCACCGUCACCAAGGGCCACCAGCAGAAGCAGGCCCCCGGGGCAGAGCCUGACCUCGGGGGUGUCUCCACAAGAGGGCACUAGAGCGUCCUCCUUUGCAGCUUCCAUCUUCGGUCUUCUGCUUCCAGACACAGAACCAAGCAGUUGAUUUAUUUAGAGUCAUGAACUCUCAGAUCUCACACAGGAGCCGUUUCUCAGGUAUGCUGUGGACCACGCCCCUCCCCCCGCCUAGAAUGCACAUGGGGACUUUCCACUCUGAUAGAGGGAAGGGCUCCGUGACGUCCAACAGCUACGGGGUCGUGUGUCUCCCUCCUCAUCUAUGCCACGUCAACAAGCCCAGUCUAGCUAUUAAUAAAAGCAGACUAGCAAAAACGCGGAGGAAAACGCUGACUGCCAUCUAUUCGAGUUUUCAAUACAUGUAUUGUGAUAAAUGAUACGUUCAUGCAGCUAAGGGCAGAGGCUUAACUGCUACUGUAUCUGAUUUGGAAAGUAUCAGAACACCACGGUCCUUCACAGUGACGUUCGCCUUCUUCCCAGUGUAAGUUCAAGACGCCUCUAACAGCAUCCGAAAGGCGCGAUCUCACCUAUGCGGCAGUGGCUCAUCGUGUGGGCUCUGGAUCAAACUCCCCAGAGUCCUGUGUACAUCAGACCAUGUGACCUUGAACAAGUAUCUGUGUGACUUUGGACAAGUCACUUAACUUCUUCACUCUCCGUUGCUUUCUGUGUAAAAUAAAGAUAACAGUAGUAGAUUGUCUACUUUUUACUGCAGUUGUGAGAAUGAAAUAAGAUAAUCCAGAUAAACUACAUAACAGGGCCUGACAUCACAAUACAUGUUCGGGAAAUGUGAGCAGCUGCUUACCAUGACUACAGCUGAGACAUACGUGUGGUCUUACAUUUUCCAAACAGGUAAAUGAUCUAAAAGAACUAGUUCCCCCUAAAUCCAUUUCAAUGCUGAGCACAGACUCAGUGAGCACCUGAGGGCAACUUUUUGAAAAGCAUGGCCUCCAAAACAUACCAGCAACCACACAUUAGGUAUAAGAGUGACCAGUCCACACAGAAACCAAACCACAGCAAGGCAGACAGCCAAGGUAAAGCAAGGUCUGGAGAGUGGUUUGCGGCCAAGGACUGAGUUCCCAGCAGCCCUCACAUUAGUGCAGAAAAGACCUGGCAGAGAGGACGGAAGGCCAAGGAAAAGCCUGGGCUGCUGACCACAGGGCAGGCCACUCUCAGGACCAACAAGCGUCAGAAGGAGAAAACAGGGUCAUGGGGGCCAUUCCCACUAGGGUACCAGAUGGAAUACUGAAGAGCCAACAAAGAACCGACCCGAACACCGGGAAGGUCACGAAAGACCAAAAAGACUUGCUAAAGGGUUAAAGAAAUCAUAAGGACCUUACUGAAUGCCCAAGUAUGAAAAAGAUGCUGCAGAAGGAAAGGCACAUCUUUGGCUGGUACCACAGCCCACAUCUCCUCCUGUCCAGACGUCCUGUCCUCAACGGUCCGGUUCUCUUACAGCUCUUGCUUUGAAAACACACAUUUGUUCCCACGUGACUGACUGCAUCAGGAAACACCGAAGCAUAAGCAAUCUUGCCUUUGCUCAUGUGUGAUGUCACCUUUGGGAAAGACAAGGUAACAGAGAACAGCACCCCACUGAACCAAGGCAGGAAGGAAUGCAAAAAGCCCUGCAGAGCACACACUGCAAGACCCACCAGCUCCUGCAUUGUGAGCCACGCUAUGCACAUCCAGUGUCACAAUGUUCCCUCCCACUUCAGAUGGCCCUCCAGGCGCCACUUCACCAUGAGGCACAAGCUACCACCCUCCCGACACCAACUCCCGCAGGUAACUUUUAGGUCCUUUCCAAUGAAAUGUGCCGCGUUUGUUGUGGUGUUUAUGUGUGUCUUUACCUUUUACCAUAUGUAAAAGGGUGCUAUCAUGUUUAUUAGGUUUCUCUUUCCUUAUCAGUAAGUCUCCUAGGAAGCUUCUGACUGCUUUGCCCCGACCUCUGGUUUCCCAUAAGCCCCGUGGUUUUUCACUGUGUGAUGAUGCAACAGUGAUUUUUAAUAUGUGUCUGUAACAUUACAGCAGACCUGACUCUAACCGGCAGUCACCACAGACACACUCUGGUGUUUCACACACUGGCUAGAGGCCCCUCCCCACAUCUCAGCCUCAGUUCACUCUUUCCUUCUCUUGUUCAAUCCUACCUUCCCUUAGGGUUUACUGAUCCAGAGAGCUUUCCAGGGCUGGCCAGCCCGUCUGCCAAAGUGCUCUUUCUCUGAGCUUGUACGGCACUUCCCAUCCGCGCUGUUGUCAUUACACUGACCGUGAGGGACAGAUGCUCCACCGCUGGUUUCAACCUCCAAAGCAUGUACCUGUUCCGUGUGGGGGCGUCUUCUGCAUGGCACAGCACAGGCACGUGAGAAACGACUACAGACGAGAAUGGAACAAAACAAAGCACCUUCCAGUUUACCAUUCCAUGUGAUACCGCACGACUCAGCAACCAUGUCCAUACAGAAUCUCAGGAAGGAAAGAAAAAGGAGAGGAAGCCAGGAUCAUGCAGAACAAGCUGAGUGUGUUCGAAGUGUCCCGGCCGGUAAAAAGGGUGUAAAACUGAGGGGACUCCGUAGGAAAAGUCCAACCGGAGGGACACGGAAGAGUAUUCCACCUACAUGGUGGGGGAAAGUAUCUGACAACAGUUGGAAAAUGUUUUUUUAAUCAAAUGUGAGCCUCAUAUAUGGAGAAUGGGACUGCUAGGCACCUCCAGUGACCUCUGGCCAGAAUAUUCACAAUAGAUGAUACUUAAUGUUUUCCCUUGCUAAGCAUCCCUUUAUCUUUUAAGUAAGAUUUCCAUAUACGCUGCGGGGAAGGCAUUUCAGUGAAAGCUUACUAACUUUGAUAUGAGCUAUGGGGAGUCAACCAAGGGCCAUAUUCCCCGGUCUUCCCUGAAUGGAGGCUGAAAUGAGACCCGAUAAAAAGUUCCUUUUAGUUUAGGAACGAAACAGACUGAUGUUAAAAGCUUCUUCAUGGAUUAUGAAUUCACAUAUACAGCAAAGUACUCAGAAAGGAGCCUCACCAAUGACGUGAAAGAACUUGGGUGGAGACGAGAGCUUGGUCAAAGUGCACCAAGUGAAGACUGCCCCUUACGUCGUUUCUAAGGCUGUCCACUGCGUGCAGGGCAACAGCUGUCCCUGAACCCAAGAUGCACUAAUUGCCAAAUGCAAACAACAAUAAGAAAAUGCAGAAGCUGAAUUAAGUGAACUUCAAGCCUUUCAUUUUAUUAGUAAAUAAAAGAAAAAUUAUCCACCAAAUGGUAAGAAAUUAAACAAGAAAAACCAGAAGGACAAAAAGCAUCGCAAAGCCGUGUUAUAAACAAAGGGAGACCCUCCAUGCAGAAAACAUGGUAAGUUCAAGCCAAGAGAAAAAGGCACUCCAAAGAGGUAACAGGGUAAGUACCUAAAUAACAUGAAGGAAAGUGCAAACAAACCCAGACUCUAACGCACAAGCUUGAUCUGUAAAACCCAUUUUAUAAGAUGAGACAAUUAAAAAGGCUGCCGCAGGCUACCAUUGGACUAGGAAACCUUAAGAGUGAUUUAAAUUAACUUAUAUGAUGACUGUGAUAAAAAUGAGGUAAGUCAGAGGGGACCAAAAUGCUCCCUUGACUAUGGAGCAGGGAGGGUAAAGCAGGUGACAAGUUGCAUGACACAGGGCAUAAAGAAACUGCUGUCAGAAUCGGACUGCUUUAAAUUUAUACGGCAAUUUUCAAAGGCUAUGCAGAUCUUUAUCAAAAACUGAUCAGUUCCUAUUUCCACCUGUUCUUCUCUGAAGUUAUACUCUACCGUUCAGUGUGGUCCAUGUUUAAUGAUUUCAAACAGUGUUUGAAUACUUUUCCCGUGCUAGGUACUGUUUUAAGUAUUUUAUGUAUAUAAACUUACUAAUGUUUACAGAAAGUGAAUCUCCCCAUUUUACACAUGAGGAAACCAAGGCACAGAGACAUUAACUGACGCGGCAAGGUUACGCACAGCCAGAAUUUGAACCCCCCAGUCCAGGCUGAAGGGUUUGGGAUUAACAUGUACACAUGACUACAUAUAAGACAGGUAAACAACAAGGUCCUACUGCAUGGCACGGGGACCUCAACUUAACAUCGGCAAAUAACAUACAAUGAACAAGAACCUAAAAAGAAUGCGUGUAACUGAAUCACCCUGAUGUACACCGACUAUACCAAGUGAUAAACACACAAAGGGACAUACGUUACAUUUAAAUGUAACCUCCUUCGAAAAAAUUAUACCAAAGAACUGAUUGGAGAAGUGAUAUCCAAGACCAGCAGACUCCUGCUUUUGGAUGUG
rnacentral:lncRNA from 1 species